GCCCGCGUAGCUCAGCGGAUAGAGCGUCUGCCUCCGGAGCAGAAGGUCGUAGGUUCGAAUCCUGUCGCGGGCA
rnacentral:tRNA from 7 species